rnacentral:tRNA from 2 species
GCCGAUGUGGCGAAAUGGCAGACGCAGUUGACUCAAAAUCAACCGGGGCAACCCGUGUCGGUUCAAAUCCGACCAUCGGCA